GGAAUAUUGCGCAAUGGACGAAAGUCUGACGCAGCGACGCCGCGUGUGGGAGGAAGCCUUUCGGGGUGUAAACCACUGUCAGAGGGGAAGAAACCCGUCCUAGUCGAACAGGCUAGGCGAUUGACGGUACCCUCACAGGAAGCCCCGGCUAACUCCGUUCCAGCAGCCGCGGUAAGACGGAGGGCGCAAGCGUUGUUCGGAAUUACUGGGCGUAAAGCGCGGGCAGGCGGUCUGUUAAGUCGUUUGUGAAAACCCGGGGCUCAACCCCGGGGAAUGCAGACGAUACUGGCAGGCUAGAGACCGGUAGAGGCUAGCGGAAUUCCAGGUGUAGCGGUGGAAUGCGUAGAUAUCUGGAAGAACACCUGUGGCGAAGGCGGCUAGCUGGGCCGGGUCUGACGCUCAUCCGCGAAAGCGUGGGGAGCAAAC
rnacentral:rRNA from 1 species